ensembl:snoRNA
AUCAUUUGCAGUUUUGACUGAUUGUGACUAUUGCCGUGAUGAUUGGGUUCUCACAUGUGAGUUGUGUGAGAUGUACUUCCUUCAAACCCUGUUACAACAUCCACACAUACCGUGUCUGUCA